AUGAUCAUCUUAUUUCUACAAAUUACUUUUUACACUAUUCUGGUUUCAGGUUCCUCUCACAGUGACAAAGUCAAGCAGACUCCAGCUCACAUGUACAACAAACCAGAAGAACAAGUCAAUAUCAGCUGUUCACACAGUGAUGAUAGCUACAACCAGAUCCUUUGGUACAAGCAAGUAAACAAACAGCUGCAGUUCCUGGGAUAUGUGUAUUUCGGCAAUGGAUAUCCAGAGCCUGGUGUAAAUGUGACAAUGGGAGGAGGUGCAGAUAAAGGCCAGACCUGCACAUUAACAAUUAAAAUAUUCAACCUGAGCAGCAGUGCAGUUUACUUCUGUGCUGCUAGUUUCCACAAGCCUGGUGUAAAUCCGGCUUACUUUGGGCAAGGAACCAAACUGACGGUUUUAGAAACAGGCCUUACUAUCACCCCACCAACAGUGAAAGUGCUUCCACCAUCGAAAAAAGAGUGUCGAAACCAAAAAGACACCAACCAGAGGAAGAAGACCUUAGUUUGUGUGGCCUCCGGUUUCUACCCAGACCAUGUCAGUGUUGAAUGGAAGGUCGGUGGGGAGAAUAUCACCAAGGGUGUGGCGACGGACAACGCUGCCCUGCGAGACCAAACGACCUACAGCAUCACCAGCAGGCUGAGGGUUCCUGCUGAAGAAUGGUUCAAUCCUAACAAUGAGUUCACCUGCAUUGUCAAAUUCUACAAUGGGACACACAAUGAACCUUUUUAUGGUAAAAUUGAAGGCGUAGAAGGUAUGUUCAUUUGUAAUUCCAAAAAAAAAUCUGAAGGGGACGGGAUGACAAGAGAGAAAUAUUUGAAGGCCACACAGAGGCUCAAACUGUCCUACGGUGUUUUCAUCGCCAAGAGCUGCGUCUAUGGAGCUUUUGUUGUGUUUCUGGUGUGGAAGCUUCAGGGAAAACACAACAAAUGAGAGCUGAGCUGAAGCCUGAACUUUCAGAGGUCGAUUCUUUUAGUUUCUGUAAAUAAAUAUUGAAGUUACAUAUUCACUUUGUUGUAUGUUAUAAAGCAUUGGCUCUCAAUAUUCAGAUGAACUAAUUCUGCACACAUGUAGAGGAACAGUUUUAUGCAUAUUUUUGUUAUAAUGUCAAAGCUAUAACUGGCAUACAAUUACUUUGGCAUCAAGUUUUAAUAUUUGCUUGUAUAAUGUAUGUUAGUGUGUAGUUGUAAACUGCUUUUUUCUAAAUUUUCUUUUC